rnacentral:lncRNA from 1 species
GGUGCAGCGCAUGCGCGGGGCAGAAUCGAUGAUGAAAUAGAUACAGAAGUUGAAGAAACACAAGAAGAGAAAAUUAAACUGGAGUGCGAGCAAAUUCCCAAAAAAAUGCACUGAAGAAAAUCUCACCUCUAUGUAUUUGAUUAAGCUAAACUUCAUAGGAGCUGCUGCAUACUGAAUAAUCUUUUUGGUUCCCCCAUGCCUACUAAAUAAAAUUAAAGGCCAAAACCAAGUUUAGACACUCUGCAAUAUCACCAAAAAGUUCGCUGCAUAGAAAAUCAAGAAGUAAGGACUAUGAUGUAUAUAGUGAUAAUGAUAUCUGCAGUCAGGAAUCAGAAGAUAAUUUUGCCAAAGAGCUUCAACAGUACAUACAAGCCAGAGAAAUGGCAAAUGCUGCUCAACCUGAAGAAUCUACAAAGAAAGAAGGAGUAAAAGAUACCCCACAGGCUGCUAAACAAAAAAAUAAAAAUCUUAAAGCUGGUCACAAGAAUGGCAAACAGAAGAAAAUGAAGCGAAAAUGGCCUGGCCCUGGAAACAAAGGAUCAAAUGCUUUGCUG